CUCGUAAAUAUUCAAAUCUGGCCAGUAAAUAACAACCCCCCUUCUUCUAUCCUGGGUCGUGUCUUGGAUAAGCAAAAAUAUCCCUUGCUACAGUGGGAUACGAAGUGAGCUGUCAUCUGUCAACUUAUUCAUUUAACUUUGACAGAACCAAAAUUAUAAAUUAUUUAUUUGCAAAUUGCAACACGUUUAUCAUAUUCGCGCGUUAUAUUAAUGUUCAUUCCCGAGUAAAUAUCGGACAAAAAACAUAAAAACAUAAAAAAACAACAUAAAAACAUAGAAACCAGGAAGAAGGAUGCAAAAAACACAAACCACCCAGACGGACAGCUCCAGCACGGAAAGAAGGAACCUCCCACGCCGAAGCUAAGUAUUUUGUAUGUUUACUUAAUGGUUUUGCCACAUAAGAAUCCUUUUAUUUUGCAGGUGGCUUUCCCUUGGUCGUCCAGAAAACCUUCGGAAGAGCCCAGAAGUCUUCUGAAACCAUUCCGUUGGACUGACUGACCAAGAAGGGCAGAACACUUCUGUUUUGGAAACAGAAUCAUUCGAAGAAUGGAAGUGGAGAACGACACCAGUAUUUGUCCACAACAAAACUCCGGAUCUGGUACCAGCUACUGGAAGAACAGAGACGGUGAAGGCUGCUCCCUAAACAAACGUUGUAGUCCAAAGUGGGGAAGAACUCACGCCCCAAAGCCGGGCAUACGUGAUUUCAAGAAAGACGGUACUAUUCAUCGAGGUGAGGUUGUGAUUAAGACAUUCCUAGACUUAAGUAUCCCAAUAGUUUUAAGGUUUAAAUUAUAAGAUCAUCGAGUUAAGUCUAGUACGUAAUUUUAGUAUAAGUUCGCAUACACUCGACUAAAUAGCUUCCUGAAGCAAUAAAGACAAAACCGAUACCAA